rnacentral:rRNA from 1 species
GGCUUUUUGAAUAUAAUUUAAGGUCGGGCCUGCCCAAUGAUGAAAUUAAAUGGCCGCGGUAUAUUGACCGUGCAAAGGUAGCAUAAUCAUUAGUUUUUUAAUUGAAAGCUUGUAUGAAAGGUUUGAUGAGAAAAAUACUGUCUCUAUUUAAAUUUAUUGGAAUUUUAUAUUUAAGUUAAAAAGCUUAAAUAUGUAUUGAAGACGAGAAGACCCUAUAGAGUUUUAUAUUUUGUUUUAUAAUGUAUUAUUAAGAAUUUUAAAGAUUUAUUUAACAAAAUAUUUAAUUGGGGUGAUUAAAAAAUUAAUAAAACUUUUUUUUGCAUUUUUACAUUGAUAAAUGAAUAAUUGAUCCUUUAUUUAAGAUUAAAAGAUAAAAUUACCUUAGGGAUAACAGCGUAAUUUUUUUUAGAGUUCUUAUCGAAAAGAAAGAUUGCGACCUCGAUGUUGGAUUAAAAUUAAUUAUUGGUGAAGAGGCUAAUAGAUUGGGUCUGUUCGACCCUUAAAUUUUUACAUGAUCUGAGUUUAAACCGGUGUAAG